UACGGAGGAUUCGAGCGUUAUCCGGAUUUAUUGGGUUUAAAGGGUGCGUAGGCGGGCUUUUAAGUCAGCGGUAAAAAUUCGGGGCUCAACCCCGUCCGGCCGUUGAAACUGGGGGCCUUGAGUGGGCGAGAAGAAGGCGGAAUGCGUGGUGUAGCGGUGAAAUGCAUAGAUAUCACGCAGAACCCCGAUUGCGAAGGCAGCCUUCCGGCGCCCUACUGACGCUGAGGCACGAAAGUGCGGGGAUCGAACAGG
rnacentral:rRNA from 1 species